rnacentral:snRNA from 1 species
GGGUGUGGGGGCAUUCUGGCUGCAACAUCUGUCACCCCAUUAAUUUCCAGAGUUGAAACCACUGAUCUGGCCAGCCAGUUGGGGGGCCCCUUCUUUCCUUAAGGCUCCAUGCUGCUUGCUUGGUUGAAGAGGACAACCUUCUCCAAUAGAAAGGGUUAUCCUUCUAUCCAAGGUAGGCCUUUACUGGGUUUCCUUGCUAAAACCACCAAAUAAGCUUUCAAAGGGAAUAUCCUUAUGGAAACAAUGUUUGCUGGCCUGAAGAGCCUCCAAAUACACAACCUCAGCUAUCU